CGGGUGAGUAACGCGUGAGGAACCUGCCUCAAAGAGGGGGACAACAGUUGGAAACGACUGCUAAUACCGCAUAAGCCCACGGCUCGGCAUCGAGCAGAAGGAAAAGGAGUGAUCCGCUUUGAGAUGGCCUCGCGUCCGAUUAGCUAGUUGGUGAGGUAACGGCCCACCAAGGCGACGAUCGGUAGCCGGACUGAGAGGUUGAACGGCCACAUUGGGACUGAGACACGGCCCAG
rnacentral:rRNA from 1 species